CAAGGUUUCUCUGCCUUAAGAGAAAGGGUUCUUAUUUCCAGGGCUGCCUACUCUGCUCCUUAAAUUGGAAGCGAUGUAAGAAAGCCAUAUUUGGUCAGGUGUAGGAUAUGCUGUCUGUGCUUGAAUGGGGUUCAUUAAGGUUGUCUCGAUUCCAGACUCGGCUCUACAAGGCCCAUCUCGAGUGGAUCCAGGCCUCGCAGUAUAUCAGACUUCAAGGUGCAAGGUGAAGAAACGAGUCACAGAGAGUGGGAACAUCUUGCCUAAGGGUAUGCAUACAGGAUCUGCCAGUAACAGAAAUCCAGAGGGUGGGCUUUAAACAAAGACACUCAGCUCCAGGCCUCUGCAAGACCCCAGAUGGUCAACGCUUUUUGCUUCAGUGCUGUGCCCUGACUGGCUAUACCAGUCCUGUGAGUGAAUUCAGUUCUCUCUUUCUUGAGUUGGGACUCAGAAGGGUCUAAGCUAGAUGCUCUCCAAUGGAAGUGAGGUGACAGUCCCUCUGGCUCCAGAGGGAAGAGGAAACAGGAAUAAAAGCCCAAUGAAAGAGGUCUUUCCCCUCGUUACAAUUAUCUUAGACUAGACAGGGGCCCAAGG